ensembl:lncRNA
UACAGAAUGUAGGUAAAAGGAACAGCUAUGAAACAGGUUACCACACCUGCCCAUUAAAUUUUUACAAAUAUUUACUGAGUAUCUUCUAUGAGGAAAGCAUUGUGAUUAGAGGAUCAGAAACUCUCCCACCUUAAUCUUACUUGAAGGGCAGAUCUUUCUUAUCUAGAAACCACAGAGCCUGAGAUCUCUGCUUCUGAAAAUCGAUCUGUUGGAGCUGAACUUGCUUUGCUUAGUGACAUCUGCUGUCCCUGACUCUUCAGUGUGCCUUCAGCAUCACAGGGUCCUACAGUCCAUUGCUGUGUCCCUGCUCUCCUCCUUGGAUGAGAAAAUUAGGCAACCUGUGUUCAUUAUUCUCUUGAUUGACUUCAAUUGUAUCUCUGUGUAUUCCAGAAAAUGAUACAGGCAAGGAGAUCAAAUGUAUCCUGUUCCAUCGCAUGAAGUUGCUCUCAGUAAAGUGAGAGGAUCAUCUCAAUAUGCAGACACUAGGAGCCUGUACUCUUACUCGGAGGGCAGAAGCCCGCGGCUAGAGUCGAUGAACUGGAAAGUCGAAGUUCCAUCACGAUCUCCACAUCAGAAUGAAGAUCAAAAAGAGGAUGAGAAUGCAUGCCUGUGUUAUUGUUCCUGGAAAUGUUCCAUCUAAAUUCAGAUAGCUCUUUUUCUAUUAACCCACUCAAACAUUGAUUCUACCUGUAGUUUUUUGUUUGUUAGUUUCUCCCCCAAUCCUUCUUUGAAAUGGAAUUUGUUGAAGAUGAGUUAUUUGUCACUUUUUUUUUAAUGUGUCUGGCCACAUGGAACUUCUGGGAAUUUUAAGAAAAUGAUUUAAAAUUGUUAGCUGGGUGUCUUCCCCAUCUCUGAAGAUCUGCAUUUACUUAAAAGUUGAAGAAAUUUAAGCCUUGAUUGGUGGAAGGAAGGAAGAUUGGUGGAAAUAGUGACCCAGAAGAAAGUUUUCUUCUCUGACAUAAGACUCAGGCAAGAAUGAGAAGCUUAGCAUGCAUGGGAUAACCUCAGCUGUCUUCAAAACUUUGUCUGUCGUUCGAUCCUUCCGCCAGAUUCCUCAUGUUUGACUGCAAGAUUUC